CUCAGUAUGAUUCCAAAGGGAACUCCUAAGUUUGGUAGGAUGCUAUCUGCGACAAGUACUAGGAUGAAGAGAGUCUCUCCAAAAGGCAACCAAGUUAAACAGAGAGCAAUUUGGAACGCGGAGUUGGAGAAGUCACUUGUUGAAAUCCUUUUCGAGCACAAUGACUAUAGAGGAGAUAAUGGCUGGAAGAAAGUGAUGUUGUGCUGCUUGAAGACCAAAGAAACCCGAGAGAGAAAGAAACUGAUGUACUGCUUGAAGACCAAAGAAACACGAGAGAGAAGGAAACUCAAGCUGAGGAUUCAAGAAUUAUGACUGAAGAGCAAAAAAGACAGGCUUUAAUAACAAAGAGGAGACAAGAAAAAGAAGAUAAGAAGACUAGUAAGAAUUCAAGAGUGGAGAACAUGAUGGAUCGAUACCUUGAGAUGAGGACUAAGCAACACGAGGAAGAAGCUGUAGCUAGAGAGAAGGAAUUUUCACAAGCAGCAGACUAUUCUGUCAAGAAGUGUGUAUCUAUGUUGAGCUCAAUGGAUGUUACCAAACAAAGAGAAGGCAAAGGCUUUUGUUGUUUUUAAGACCCUAGCAAAUAGAGAAAUCUUUUUGUGUGCCUGCGAAGAUGACUUAGAGUCUGCUUUAAUGUGGCUGAGAAAUGAAAUGGCCUAGCAUCACCGUGUGGAUAAAGCAUGUGAAGAAGGGAAAGAACCCAUGGAGUUGCACACAAUGGAGGAGCUAUCUCAACAUUCGAAUCUGAAUAUUAUGGUUGUUGAUCAUGCCAGUUUGGCACUUGUGAUAAACUGUUGAUUUGUUGUUAAGGGUCUUCUAUGUCCAGCCCUUUUGGCACUUAAAAGAGUGUUGUCUGUCCUUUGGCACUUAAAACUGUUAAUUUGCUAUGCUGUUAAGCCCCUUGGGCACUUGUGACAAACUGUAUAUUAGUGCUAGCUGUUUUUUUUCCGGCUCAAACCGAAUACACUUUUUUGAAGAGCUGGAUUAAGAAAAG